rnacentral:rRNA from 1 species
UACGGGGGGAGCAAGCGUUGUUCGGAUUUACUGGGCGUAAAGGGUGCGCAGGCGGCGUCGCAAGUCAGGCGUGAAAUCCCCGGGCUUAACCUGGGAACUGCACUUGAAACUACGAUGCUGGAGUAUGGCAGAGGGAGGUGGAAUUCCACGUGUAGCGGUGAAAUGCGUAGAGAUGUGGAGGAACACCGAUGGCGAAGGCAGCCUCCUGGGCCAAUACUGACGCUCAUGCACGAAAGCGUGGGGAGCAAACAGG